CUGUUGAAGAUGUUCUAUUUAUGGGUCUUUCUUAUGGUUGUUAUGGCAACCAGUUGCCAGUUACUGGCAUCCUUUACAGGCCUGUGUAAUGAGCAGUAGGUUUAAGUGCUGCACCUGCUGACUCUUAGCAUUGCUGAUAGCUUCAAGAGGUCAAAAAUCCAUAAGAAUGGCAGAGCCAAACACUUGAACAUGGUGGUUCAAUGCAGCAUCACAUCUUAGAAUUCUUUAAGUGGCAUGUGCAUAACUAUCGGGCUGAUCAUCUGGAGCUGAGUGGAAAGGAAAAGGGGGCAAAAAAUGCUUACCCUUCACAGUAGGCUGCACCUGAGAGAUUUCAGACUGCCUUCCCACUUUUGACAUUGUGCCUGCGUGUUUUAGGCAUGAUCUCUUCUGUACUGGAUGUGGAAAAGAGAAAAUGACUGUUGAGAGCUAAGGAUGGAUUUUCUUGUUUCUUUUUACUAUGUGAUGCAAUCUGAUCUACAGAAACCGAGAAGACAUUGAUUCAAAGGGACACUGAGUAAUACCUAGUUUGCAAACAAUGGUGCUGAUUCUGAAAUCCUUCCUCAAACCAGCUUGCCUAAAGAGUAGCACUAAAGCAGUCUCAUUGGGCUUAUUAAGAAGAGUGAAAGUUACGAGAUGAGGCCUAAUUAUUGUACAUACAGAGAGAGGUGGCUAGUUGCUUAGUCAAGGCUGUCAGCUUGAUGCCAAUACAUUGUUCCUUUCAUUGAAUCGGUGCCUUGAGAU